AAGCGGUGGAUGAUGUGGUUUAAUUCGAUGCAACGCGAAAACCUUACCACCUUUGACAUGGCAGGAAUCCCGAAGAGAUUUGGGAGUGCUCGAAAGAGAACCUGCACACAGGUGCUGCAUGGCUGUCGUCAGCUCGUGUCGUGAGAUGUUGGGUUAAGUCCCGCAACGAGCGCAACCCUUGCCAUUAGUUGCUACGAAAGGGCACUCUAAUGGGACUGCCGGUGACAAACCGGAGGAAGGUGGGGAUGACGUCAAGUCCUCAUGGCCCUUAUAGGUGGGGCUACACACGUCAUACAAUGGCCGGUACAGAGGGUAGCCAACCCGCGAGGGGGAGCCAAUCCCACAAAGCCGGUCUCAGUUCGGAUUGGGGUCUGCAACUCGACCCCAUGAAGUCGGAGUCGCUAGUAAUCGCAGAUCAGCAACGCUGCGGUGAAUACGUUCCCGGGCCUU
rnacentral:rRNA from 1 species